GAUGAACGCUGGCGGCGUGCCUAAUACAUGCAAGUCGAGCGAACAGACGAGGAGCUUGCUCCUCUGACGUUAGCGGCGGACGGGUGAGUAACACGUGGAUAACCUACCUAUAAGACUGGGAUAACUUCGGGAAACCGGAGCUAAUACCGGAUAACAUGUUGAACCGAAUGGUUCAACAGUGAAAGACGGUCUUGCUGUCGCUUAUAGAUGGAUCCGCGCCGCAUUAGCUAGUUGGUAAGGUAACGGCUUACCAAGGCAACGAUGCGUAGCCGACCUGAGAGGGUGAUCGGCCACACUGGAACUGAGACACGGUCCAGACUCCUACGGGAGGCAGCAGUAGGGAAUCUUCCGCAAUGGGCGAAAGCCUGACGGAGCAACGCCGCGUGAGUGAAGAAGGUCUUCGGAUCGUAAAACUCUGUUAUUAGGGAAGAACAAAUGUGUAAGUAACUAUGCACGUCUUGACGGUACCUAAUCAGAAAGCCACGGCUAACUACGUG
rnacentral:rRNA from 1 species